rnacentral:rRNA from 1 species
UCGUGGAAUGAUCUGUCUGGUUAAUUCCGAUAACGGACGAGACCUUCACCUACUAACUAGCCACGCUCUUUUCGAAGGGUGUGUGCUUCUUAGGGGGACGACGUGUGGCAAACACGUGGAAGUUGGAGGCAAUAACA